GGGCGCGUAGCUCAGUUGGUUAGAGCAGAACGCUCAUAACGUUUUGGUCGCAGGUUCGAGUCCUGCCGCGCCUACCA
rnacentral:tRNA from 1 species